AAGGUGGAGAAUACAGCCUCUCUGGUCACGUUUCCUGCCAUGUGACCAAGUGCAGAGCAAAAGAUUAUGAGCUUCAUGAAGAUGGUCAGGUGCUGUGUUGCAGCAACAGGAAAACUGCUUGGUAUAAGCAGGACCACAACCUGAAUUUAUCUAAAGCUAUAGAGGAUUCAGCUGCCUUCCAGAAUAGGCAUCUCUAAUGUCCACAGUGCAGACACCCAGUGGGUUUGUA
rnacentral:lncRNA from 1 species